rnacentral:lncRNA from 1 species
GAAGAAGCAACCAGUGGUGAGUCUAUCAACGACUGAAGCGGAAUUUAUAGCAGCAGCAGCAAGCUCAUGUCAAACCGUGUGGCUCAGACGGAUACUUGAGGCAAUGGGAAGAAAUCAAACAAGUCCUAUGGUAAUAUAUUGUGUAAUAGUUCUGCCAUAAAGUUAUCAAAGAAUCCAAUUAUACAUGUGAGAAGUAAACACAUCGAUGUACGGUUUCAUUUUCUAAGAGAUCUUACAAGGAACAAAACAAUUGUGCUGCAACACUGUAAUUCCCAAGAACAAGUAGCUGAUGUCA